GAGAUGGAGUUUAGCUCUUGUUGCCCAGGCUGGAGUACAAUGGCGUGAUCUUGACUCACUGCAACCUCUGCCUUCCGGGUUCAAGUGAUUCUCCUGCCUCAGCCUCCCAAGUAGCUGGGAUUACAGGCGUGCGCCACCAAGCCUGGCUAAUUUUGUAUUUUUAGUAAAGAUGGGGUUUUUCCAUGUUGGUUAGGCUGGUCUCGAACUCCCGACCUCAGGUGAGCCACCAUGCCUGGCCUUAGAUAGAUAACUUUCUAAGAAUUAAAUGUCUUCCCAUUUGUACAGGAUUUCAUACUUUUCAACUCUUUCCUGUUCUGCAAGGUAGACAGGAAGGAGUCUCCAUGUGACAGAUGAGGAACAGGAGCCCCUGAAGCAAUGGGAGAGCGGGUGUAGGAAGUGUGCCCAGAAUAGCCAGAGAACUUAUUUGUAAGAGAAUUGAUCCUAAAGAAGAAAUUUCUAAAUUGUCAAAAAUGUAUACCAAGGAGGUUCACCAGUGUUGUUGAUAAUCAGAAAAAAACUGGACUCAACUGCAAUGAUGCAGAGACAGUGAUGGGAAAGACAGAGCAAAUUCCAGAUUGUGAGCAGCCACCUGCAUCCUCUAUGCCUGAGCGGCCCAGCCAUCAGAGCCAGCCGACCCCACAGAUGAUGCCUCUUUCAGCACCAUCCAGGGCCGAGGCGCUGGGGCAAAGGCCUGGAUAGCAGUGCCUCUGGUUUGCAGGUACAGCAGAGCAGGUACAGCAGAGCCCAGGGGGGUCCCAAGUCAGCAGUCGAGGUUCUGCAAUGCUCAGAACACAGGACCAACAGACAGGUCUGUACUGCCCACCCCUCAGUUCUUUACAGUGAAGAGAAGCGCUGGACUUCAGAGACACUUAGGAAACAAAUUUCAGACACUGCUACAACCUGAUGUCUCUGAGACAUCCACACCAAAAAUGGACAAGGAAGUUUAGGUUUCCCUCUUUCUUCAUCACCACGUCACAAAAAGUCCAGCUCCAAGUAAAACACGUCCCCAGAAUUACCAUCUCUGGAAUUAAACUGAAGUCCCCUCUUUUCAGGCCACCUUUGAAAAAGUUCUAAUUUAGCACAGAAUCCUCUCACAAGUUAUUCCACAGUGCUUCUUUUCCAAUCUGGACUCUAUUGUUAGUAGCCUGGUCAGUUCUCCAUUUGAGUAAUUCCAUCGUAUGUGCUUAUUAUUCAUAUAUAAUUCCGGUACCUAGGGGCGAAAAGGACUGGAUGCUGUUAAAUAAUUAGCUGCAUGCCAACUUUGGGUCCCAAAGCCAGAGCCUGUCGUCCCUGCUCCAUCAUAACGCCGGGGAAGGUGGUACAAAUCAGGCCCUCCACAGCCAGCAGUACCAUCUGCCUCAACCGAAGAGCAGAGCGAGAGUGGAGGGCCUGGGGAGCGUCAGGUGUAUACACCCUUCACUAACGUACCCUCCAACUCUCCCCAACUCUAGACUUCUAUGAAGAUUCUGCCCAAGGCUUUCCACUCAGUACCCAGCCAGGCACACCUGCAGCUAACCGCCCCCGGCUCCUCAGCAGUGUCGGUCUGAGGGUGAUGCUGCCACAAGCCACAAGCCCUGAGGACCCUGCUCUGUGUCACCUGGGCCAUGCUGUUGAAGCUCUGUGAUGAGCCAUACAAAAGGAACAAAAAUAGAACAAUGAACAUUUCUGUCCCCAUCACCUGACUUCAACAGUUACCAGCCCAAGGCCAAUGUUUCCUCUGUACCCCAACUCCCCAGAUUAUUUUGAAAUAUUGCAUUUUAACUCUGAAAUUCUUUUAAGCCAAUUUAGGGAAAAAAAAAAAAAUACUCACUUGCAGUCAAAUAUAUGCAAGUCUGCUGAGGCCCAAACUUCAAAACGAACUGCUCCACAGUGGCAGCCUCCUGUGUGCUUCACCAGGCCCUGGUAUUCACUAAAUGAAACAAAAAUCAGAAAGAUAAGAAUUUCUGAAUAGCUGCCUCCUGCUCUCUUUUUGUUGUUGAAAGAAAGACGGAAGAUUAGAAAAAAGUCUUUUCUACAUGACAACCAGAUGCAUUUCUGCUUUUAAGGAGGCACUGUCAAUUUCCUAAGUGAAGAACGGUUUCAGCACCUUCUUUGUCCAUGAGCUCUCUUUUCGCCAAUUUCUUAAAUUGUAUUAAGUUGCAAAAUAAAACAUUCCAAA